AUGCAUUCAUAAAUGCUUAUGUGCACCAUUAUGUUUUAAUAUUUAUUCAUUGUGGAGAUCAUGAGUGGUGUGAAAACUUCUCUCUCUCUCUCUCUCUCUUUGUGUACCUUAAUUUUGCUUUAUUUUCUGAUCAAUCCAUGCAUAUCUACAUGCAUAAUUCUUGUAACUUCACCUCAUUUUCCUUUAUUGUUACCCUUUUAUUCUUUGUUGUAGCUUCAUUUUUAUUUUGUGUCCAUUUCUCAACAACGUAUGCUCUGCCCUGCCUUGAUAGGAGUCCACUGAAAUGUGCAAAAUAUGUCAAAACUGAAACAUAUGUGGAAAUGAAAUAAAUACAAAAUUGCACUCAAAAGUAACGAAAACCAAAUGUGUGAAAUUUUGUAUCGUUUUAUUAGAAAUCAUAGAUACAUACAUUGCAGCAAGUAAAAUGCCGGUUUUUGAGCCUUUUCAACACGUAUCAACCUUUGUUGAAACAGCCUUGUGAUGUGCGAUAAGUGCAGAAUUGCUUGAAUCCUUUUAUUUUUAUUUUUUAUGUGUAGCAUACUCGGAUCCAUAUUGCGGCCUUUUUGGGUUAGCACAGGGUUUGCUCGUAAGUAUAUCCCUGUUCUUAUUCAAUUCUGGAGAAGUUCAGACUGGAUGCUGGAGGAAAGAUCUUGUAGAAAGGUGAAAUGAGAUGAAAAUUAGGCUGUCUAAGCACUCACUAUUUAGGGCUGAAUUCAAACCAGUCAAGUGGGGUGGAGUGGAAGAGUACAAAGGAAGUGCAGACCAUUAGGUCUAAUGUUUGGGGUCGGUUUGUGUUCAGCUUAGGGACUAGGGCUUGGAAACAGUAACUAGAAGUGGAUUUGAGAAAGAAGGUUAAUUAUUCUCUUACUUUUGG